CUCUCUCUCCUACUCGCUACUCUCUCGAUCGAGGCCUCUCUCGCUCUCGCAGAGCAGCGACUCGCCCCCAUCUUCUCUCUCCUCGCCAUUCUCUCUUCAUCGUCGGUAAGCCCUUCAACAGCUUUUCUCUGUCCACUGUUCUCUCUCCCCCCCCGCCCCCCUCCCCCGGCGGCGAUCGCGGGACCCGAAUUUUUUCCAGGCGUGACGUUUUGGGGCGCUUCGGUGUCCCUUAGGGUUCAGUGUCGAAUCUCGGUAUAUCUGUCAUCGAUUUGCACCUGAAUUUCGUGCUUCCUAGACAGGGUACAUAGAUUGGCGUUGCUUCGUUGUUAUUCAACUGUUGAAUUGGGUGUGGAAUUCUGGUUAUUCCGAUUAGGGGUGCGUGCGAUUAGGAUUGGGAUUUCUUUUUGUGUUUUUGAUUGUUGUUGUUGUUCAGUGGAAAAUUGAAAAAGACUGGUGUAUUUUUCUGUUUCUGAGUAGAGGUGCAGUUCUGUUAGGGUUUCUUAGAUUGAGCGUGUAUUUGUGAAUAUACUAUAUGGCGGCUGGGAGGCAUGGAGGUUAUCGUGACAAUGAGUUGAGGGACCGUGAGUCUAACAUGUAUGUGUCAAAGCGGGAUUUGGGUUAUUCUAAGGAGGAAUGUGACCGGAGUGGGAGCAGUAAUCACGAUGGGGAGCAAGUCCGAAGUCGUAAUGCUAGAGAUAGCGCUAGGGUUAGGCAGAAGGAUGUUAAGGAGAGGGAAGUGGCAAAUGGCGCAUACCACUCCUUUUCGAGUAGAAGUGACUCUGGGAGUAGUGGAGGUGGAGGUGCAGGUGCAGGUGGGUCUAGGCAUCGUGGUAUUUCAGUUAGGACCAUGGAUAGAGAGCCAGGUGAAUUGUCCAGCGAAAGUGGGUCUGACGACGCCAUUGAGUCUGACACACAGGUUAAGGACAUAGAGGUUUUUAAGACGGCAGAGAAUGGGACCCACUCCCCAGUAGUGGAGAAGAAGAGGAAAUUCUCGCCCAUAAUUUGGGAUAGAGAUGAUGAUGAAUCAAGUAGGGCAGUGAAAAGAAGGGCUUCCACCACAGUUACUGCCCUUCCUCCUCCACCUCCACUUCCUAAAUCAUACCGUGAGAUCCCUAAUACUCACAAUGGGGUUGUGCAGAUCUCUUCAGUUAAAAGUGAUUUAGGUCAAGAACCACAGUCUUCCUCACCUGUUACUGAAAAUGUUAAUUUAAGCGGUGAAUCUGGGGCUGACUCUCCGUUAGGACUGUCUUCAGCAUUUGCUUUACCUUCAGAUGGUAAUCCAUGGGGUAAUGAUCAGGAGGCAACACAAUUAGAAGAUGAAGAUUACGUGCCAAUGCGUAACAUAUCAUCUUCUAGGUGGGCAGCUGGAGAUAGUUCUCCAGUUGAUGAGGGUGAAAUAGUAGAGGAUGAAGAUUUGCCUAAGAGAAGAAAGAAGACACCGCUGUUGGAAUCAUUAGGAAUCAGAGGGCGUGGCAAAUCGGUCAGUCCUGAGCUGGGGAAGCUUAAGAAAGAUGGUUCAGACGGACUUAGUGGCAGGUCUUCUGAACCUGAUGGGCGAGGUGGUGCUGCUGGGUCAUCCAGUGAUAACCGCUAUUCUGACCAUGACUCGGAUAAAAAUGAUUACAUGGAUGUUGAUGAAAAGAACCGUCAUGAUGAUAUGAUCAAUGAUAUGUCUGAAACUAAUUCAGAGAGCGAUGAUGAUUCUCGAGGAACGCCAGAACCUGCUUGUCCGCCUCAAAGAAGUGUAAAUAUGCUGCAGGGUUGUCGUAGUGUUGACGAGUUUGAGAGGCUUAACAAGAUAGAUGAAGGGACUUAUGGUGUAGUCUACAGAGCUAGGGACAAGAAAACUGGAGAAAUUGUAGCACUGAAGAAGGUAAAGAUGGAAAAGGAAAGGGAAGGUUUUCCUUUGACUUCUCUGAGGGAAAUAAAUAUUCUGCUAGCUUUUCAUCACCCGUCAAUUGUGGAUGUGAAAGAAGUUGUGGUGGGGAGCAAUCUUGACAGUAUUUUUAUGGUGAUGGAAUACAUGGAGCACGAUCUUAAAGGGCUAAUGGAGACAAUGAAACAGCCUUUUAGUCAGAGCGAAGUCAAAUGUCUAAUGUUGCAGCUAUUAGAAGGUGUGAAGUAUCUUCAUGACAACUGGGUGCUUCAUCGUGACCUUAAAACAUCAAAUUUGCUUCUUAAUAAUCGAGGUGAGUUGAAGAUUUGCGAUUUUGGAUUGGCUCGGCAGUAUGGGAGCCCAUUAAAGCCUUACACUCACUUGGUGGUUACUCUUUGGUACAGGGCACCUGAACUCCUGUUGGGGGCAAAACAGUACUCAACUGCCAUUGACAUGUGGUCCCUGGGCUGUAUCAUGGCUGAAAUGUUAUCCAAGGAGCCACUCUUUAAUGGGAAAACUGAAUUCGAUCAACUUGACAAGAUAUUUAGAACUCUUGGAACCCCAAAUGAGACUAUCUGGCCGGGUUUCUCCAAGCUUCCUGGUGUCAAGGUUAACUUUGUUAAGCACCAGUACAACUUGUUGCGGAAGAAAUUUCCACCAACAUCUUUCACAGGAUCCCCAGUACUUUCAGAUUCUGGUUUUGACUUGUUGAAUAAGCUUCUUACUUAUGACCCUGAAAAGCGAAUAACUGCGGAGGCUGCCCUUAAUCAUGAGUGGUUCCGUGAAGUCCCUCUGCCGAAGUCCAAAGAUUUUAUGCCUACUUUUCCUGCUCAACAUGCUCAAGACAGGCGCAUGCGAAGAGUUAUGAAGAGUCCAGAUCCUUUAGAAGAGCAGCGCAGGAAGGAAUUAAUGCAAGGCGAGCUUGGGGGUGGAGGUUUGUUUGGCUAAAUGAAUAGGAUAGCCUGUAAUCCUCAUGCUGCAGUCUGUAUGCACAAAAUGGACAUGGUCGAGGUGAGAGUUGCAUUGACGGGAGUUGGGAACAUAUUUAUCUGGAGAUCAUUCAUGUUAUUUUUUAGCAGGCACCAUGCUUGGGUGGAGAAGUUUGUUCUUGGUCUCCAUUAGUAAGCCAGAUUUCUCGCUGGUUCACUUUGUUCAUCGGCUUUGAUCACCAAUAGAUAUGCAUCUGCGACCCUGCUUGCAUCGCAAGGAAGAAUAUCAAAGUAACGAGUAACCUAUAUUUUUGGAAGGUAAACUACCAAUUCUAGAUUUGAGGGUCCAUGUCUCAAUAUUUCGUCUCUUUUGGGACAAUAUCUAUGUGUAUGAUAUGGUGGAUAAUGGAUCGAUGUGAGAGAUAUCUUGAUGCUGUUUGAUAAUGAUCAAGACCAUUGGUCUCGUCCAAUCCUUUUCUUUGCCAUGGCAUUUGAAAACUUGUCUGCCUUUUAAGCAUGUGUACAUGGAAGUGAGUCUGAGGUAACGGAGAUUAAAACUUGGGAAAGCCGUUUUUAACGAUGAUGUUCUAGUGUGUAGCUGAUUGAGAAGUUACUUAUACAUUUUAUAAGAACUUUUUGGUGGCAGCCUGAACCAAAAAAUCACCAUAAUCUGGCAAAUUCGCUGUCAUUCAUGUUCGGUCAUGUUUAUCGCAAUAGACAUUGAAGAUUUAAGCCUUUUGAAGCAACUAGCUAUUUUGACCCUAUGAGCUGGAAAAGUGUGAACAAAAUUAAAAGGGAACAAAUUUGCCCAUUCGCUAUUGUUUUCUUAGUUUGAUCACAAUCUUUGUUGAGGACCUGAGGUAAGUAGAGAACACGAAGUCAACAAGAGCUAUGUCAUAUUUUUGAUACUUCUCAAGAAACUUUUCUGCUUUAUUGAGUUGGCCUUUUGACUUCUAGCUCUUUUUAGCGACGAAGAUUGAAAUUCACUCGAUUGCCUCCUGAGACAUGCGGAUAUAAGGAAUUCAUUGAUCGUCUCUGUAAAGCUGGCUGCUGGCAGGUUAUUGGUAGCUUGACUAAUGAGAUAUCUUCUGUUUGUCAAUGCUUACUGCGUUUGCGGCUUUUUGAGAAGGACGUCUAAUUCUUGCCCCAUUCGCUUGGAUCCAAAAUAUUGUAACUACGUGACUUAUUUUGUGAAAUGGGAAGCCCUAGAAAUGUCCUUAUUGUGCUGAUGGCAUGUGAUGGUGUCAAGAUUUCUGUAAUUUUUUGGAAUUUUUUUGACGUUUGUCUGCGGCUGUCACCUGCAGUAUCCAAGUUGCAAGCAGGUUGAGGAGUUUACCUUCAAAUUGGAUUAUAGAACUUCCAUUAGUUGUUCGUUCAGGCUCAUCAGAGGUACCAUAUAACUCUUAGUUUCGCUUCGUCAUAUUGACAGUAUCAUGUCCAGUUUGGUUAAACCAGAUCUUGGUUAUUUUAUGUUAAUAUAUUGCACUUCAUUAUGAAUCAGAAUGUUGCUGGGCAUGAGAUUUCAUUUUAGCUUCUGUCAGGAAUAUGUGCCAUCACUAAUGGGAAACAUUAUCCGUCUGCAUCAUGCUUUUGGUGGACGAAAUUUUCUUGGCUAAUUGUGUAUCAGAAGUUGAUAGAUGCUGCAUGCUUCUUGAAGACUAAUCAGUUUAUCGGACAGGAAUGAAGUCUUGAAAUUUGUCUUUCACUAAUUGCAGCUUCCCUUUUUUAUCGUCUAGUGGAGUAUAUUAUGGACAACAAAUGCCUUUUUGAGACAUGCGUAUUUAUUUGCAAGCUAUCAGUUGCAACAUUGUGGGAAUUGCCUUAAUGCUAACUUUUAAAGAGUCAUGAUGCCUCGAGUGUUUGUGGGUUCAUGUCCGCAACCCUCUUUUUUUGUCUUGCCAUGUGGAAUUUGGACAAAACUGAAUUAUAUUCAGGCUCAAUAAUGGUGGAGUGAAGGAUCAAGCUCUAUUACCUUGCUGGUUCGACCUUAUCUCUGCUUUUGUUGCAACCCUGGCUCUAUUGUAGCUGGAGCAUUUCAUCGUCAAAAUUUUUUCUGCUCCCCCGAUUUUUCAUUACAUCUCCUGUGACUUUGGUUCGGAGAAACUUGGAAGUGCUAUUAUGAUAGGGAAAUAUUCUUUCUUAGACUCAAGUCCGUGGAUCGGGUGCUUAUUGGUUUUGCAUGUGGGACCUAUAUGUGGAGCCCAUGUUGAACCCACGCCAUCUAUACGGUUGUGAUCGAUCCGGUCCAUAUUGGCUUGGCUCCAAGCGAGAAAUUCCCACUGUCAUGGGACUUAUUACCUUUUAUUUGGCUUUAUUUAUGUGAAGCUCUUCCACCUUUAAGGGAAUAUAGAGAAUUGGCAGGCCUCUGAGAAAA